rnacentral:SRP_RNA from 1 species
GUCCGGGUCCUGCGCAACGGAGACCCAUGAACCCUGUCAGGUCCGGAAGGAAGCAGCAGUAAGUGGACCACUUCGUGUGCCGUGGGGCAACCUGGACUGA